rnacentral:rRNA from 1 species
CGUACACUCCUGCGGGAGGCAGCAGUGGGGAAUAUUGGACAAUGGGCGCAAGCCUGAUCCAGCCAUGCCGCGUGAGUGAUGAAGGCCCUAGGGUUGUAAAGCUCUUUCACCGGUGAAGAUAAUGACGGUAACCGGAGAAGAAGCCCCGGCUAACUUCGUGCCAGCAGCCGCGGUAAUACGAAGGGGGCUAGCGUUGUUCGGAUUUACUGGGCGUAAAGCGCACGUAGGCGGACUAUUAAGUCAGGGGUGAAAUCCCGGGGCUCAACCCCGGAACUGCCUUUGAUACUGGUAGUCUUGAGUUCGAGAGAGGUGAGUGGAAUUCCGAGUGUAGAGGUGAAAUUCGUAGAUAUUCGGAGGAACACCAGUGGCGAAGGCGGCUCACUGGCUCGAUACUGACGCUGAGGUGCGAAAGCGUGGGGAGCAAACAGGAUUAGAUACCCGUGUAGUCCC